CCAUCACCUUAGGGAUUAAGAUUUCAACUUGUGCUCUGCCACGUAAUGUGCAGUCUCUUUCCACAAUGCUAGAGAUGAAGCUGGGCUUCAAGUCUGCACCUGUAAAUUCCUGACUUCUCAGAGUCCUGUGGGCUGAGGAGACAAACCAUGCAGGAAACAGUC
rnacentral:snoRNA from 1 species